ensembl:lncRNA
GUGUGUUGUAGAUGUGUUGUAGGUGUGUUGUAGGUGUGUAGUAGGGGUGUUGUAGGUGUGUUGUAGGUGUGUUGUAGGUGUGUUGUAGGUGUGUUGUAGGUGUGUUGUAGGGGUGUUGUAGGUGUGUUGUAGGUGUGUUGUAGGUGUGUUGUAGGGGUGUUGUAGGUGUGUUGUAAGGGUGUUGUAGGUGUGUUGUAGGUGUGUAGUAGGGGUGUUGUAGGUGUGUUGUAGGUGUGUUGUAGGUGUGUUGUAGGGGUGUUGUAGGGGUGUUGUAGGUGUGUUGUAGGUGUGUUGUAGGUGUGUUGUAGGGGUGUUGUAGGGGUGUUGUAGGUGUGUUGUAGGUGUGUUGUAGGUGUGUUGUAGGUGUGUUGUAGGGGUGUUGUAGGUGUGUUGUAGGUGUGUUGUAAGGGUGUUGUAGGUGUGUUGUAGGUGUGUUGUAGGUGUGUUGUAAGGGUGUUGUAGGGGUGUUGUAGGUGUGUUGUAGGGGUGAUGAAGGGGUGACUGGCUGCGAAUAAGUGACAUCGGACGUGAGUCGUCUUCCAGAGAGAACGAAGAGGCCAAGUGACCUGGCAGAGGAUGGCUGAAACACUUUUGUAACGGGUAAGACAAUCUUCAUACAGAACGGAAAUGAUACACCCCGCAUUCAAAUUGUAAGUAUACUAAAUGAUUCACAGUGUGAUGAG